rnacentral:rRNA from 1 species
AGUCAAUAGAUACCCCGGUAGUCCAUGCCGUAAACGAUGAUUGCUAGGUGUGGGGGGUCUGACCCCUUCCGUGCCGGAGUUAAACACAAAUAAGCAAUCCACCUGGGGAGUACGGCCGCAAGGUUGAAACUCAAAGGAAUUGACGGGGGCCCGCACAAGCAGUGGAGUAUGUGGUUUAAUUCGAAGCAACGCGAAGAACCUUACCAGGUCUUGACAUCCACCGAAUCCUGUAGAGAUACGGGAGUGCCCUUCGGGGAACGGUGAGACAGGUGGUGCAUGGUUGUCGUCAGCUCGUGUCGUGAGAUGUUGGGUUAAGUCCCGCAACGAGCGCAACCCUUGUGAAUAGUUGCUACGAAAGAGCACUCUAUUCAGACCGCCGUUGACAAAACGGAGGAAGGUGGGGAUGACGUCAAAUCAUCAUGCCCCUUAUGACCUGGGCUACACACGUACUACAAUGGCCGUUAACAGAGGGAUGCAAUGCCGCGAGGUGGAGCGAACCCCUAAAAACGGUCUCAGUUCAGAUUGCAGGCUGAAACUCG